rnacentral:rRNA from 1 species
UACGUAGGGGGCAAGCGUUGUCCGGAAUCAUUGGGCGUAAAGAGCGUGUAGGCGGCCCGGUAAGUCCGCUGUGAAAGUCCAGGGCUCAACCCUGGGAUGCCGGUGGAUACUGUCGGGCUCGAGUCCGGAAGAGGAGUGUGGAAUUCCUGGUGUAGCGGUGGAAUGCGCAGAUAUCAGGAAGAACACCCGUGGCGAAGGCGGCUCUCUGGAACGCAACUGACGCUGAGACGCGAAAGCGUGGGGAGCAAACAGG